rnacentral:rRNA from 1 species
UACUAGAGUAGCACUCGCAUAUCAAUAAGCGGAGGAAAAGAAACUAACAAGGAUUCCCCUAGUAACGGCGAGUGAAGCGGGAAGAGCUCAAAUUUGAAAUCUUAAAGGGUUUCCCUUUACGAAUUGUAGUUUAAAGAAGUGUUUUCUGUUGAGGUUUUGGUAAAAGUUCUUUGGAAUAGGACAUCAUAGAGGGUGAGAAUCCCGUAUUUGACCUUUACUUUCAACUUUGUGAUACACUUUCAAAGAGUCGGAUUGUUUGGGAAUGCAGUCCAAAAUGGGUGGUAAAUUUCAUCUAAAGCUAAAUAUUGGCGAGAGACCGAUAGCGAACAAGUACCGUGAGGGAAAGAUGAAAAGAACUUUGAAAAGAGAGUUAAACAGUACGUGAAAUUGUCAAAAGGGAAGCGUUUGACACCAGUGUUGUUUUUCUGAAAAUCAAUUAAAGAACUGUUUAUGCUAAGCUGUUUAGACUUUAUCAGCUAUCUGUUUAGUUUUAGGCUUUUCUUUAAUGCACUUUUCAGUUAACAAGUCAACAUCAAUUUCUUUUGCUGUAAAAAAGCUUGAGGAAGGUGGCUUGAGAUUCGUCUUAAGUGUUUAUAGCCUCUUGCCUAUGCAGUCGGAGAGAUUGAGGUCUGCAGCGUAGAUCCUUCGGGGCUAAAUGCAUUUGUGCUAAGUUAUAGCAUUUUAUAGACAACUUGUUGACUAUGAUUUGUCUUGUAGCUUACUCGCUUAUGUUAUUUUACCUACGCUUAGGAUGUUGAGUAGCGACAUACGCAC